GUUGAGUUUCAAAUCUGAAAAUUUCUGUCUUUCAAGGUCAGCAUCGCCCACAAACCGGCCGUUCUCAAAUGUGGAGUUCUAAAAAUCAGUCCUUUAAGAAAGAAACCCAAGGCUUCGCCAAGGUGCUGAGAAAGACAAAUCCAGCAGGGCAGUUGAUUUUUCGCCACCUCUUCCUCCUUUCGGGAUCUUUCCUGCUCUUCUUUCUCUCUCUCUCCCUCUCUCUUUUUUUUCC
rnacentral:lncRNA from 1 species